AGAAACAUUUACUUUUGCCCUUUGGCUACUGAAGUAAUAUGAUAAUUUGCAAACCUCUUUUUUUUUCUCUAUGGGAUACUAAAUUGUAGAAAAUGACAGCUUAACUGUCUAUUUUGCAGAUUGAUGUAGGCAUUGGAUCUUCAUCAUUUGCAAAAUCACAGGGCCCGAAAUGACUCAUUGAUAGUGGAUGUUUGCCAGGGUCAAUAUAAGUCAACACUGGUUUGCCCAGCAUGUGGAAAGAUUUCAAUCACUUUUGAUCCCUUCAUGUAUUUGUCGUUGCCGCUACCUUCAACUGCAACUCGGCAAAUAACCGUGACUGUGUUUUACGGCGAUGGAAGUGGUCUUCCUAUGCUAUACACUGUUAGUUUGCUAAAGCAAGGUUGUUGUAAAGAUCUUAGUGAACAACUAAGUAAUGCUUGUUGCUUGAAUGCUGAUGAGAUUCUUCUGCUUGCAGAGGUUUAUGAACAUAAGAUUUUUCGAUAUUUGGAAAACCCCUCAGAGCUAUUGGCUCCAAUUAAGGAGGAUGACCACUUAUAGACUUUCUAAAAACGUCGUGGGAAG